GUAGGUGGCAAGCGUUGUCCGGAAUUAUUGGGCGUAAAGCGCGCGCAGGCGGUUCUUUAAGUCUGAUGUGAAAGCCCACGGCUCAACCGUGGAGGGUCAUUGGAAACUGGAGAACUUGAGUACAGAAGAGGAAAGCGGAAUUCCACGUGUAGCGGUGAAAUGCGUAGGGAUGUGGAGGAACACCAGUGGCGAAGGCGGCUUUCUGGUCUGUAACUGACGCUGAGGCGCGAGAGCGUGGGGAGCAAACAGGGAUUAGAUACCCUGGUAGUCUACGCCGUAAACGAUGAGUGCUAAGUGUUAGGGGGUUUCCGCCCCCUUAGUGCUGCAGCUAACGCAUUAAGCACUCCGCCUGGGGAGUACGGCCGCAAGGCUG
rnacentral:rRNA from 1 species